CCCUAGAAUCGCCCCGUUGGUGCUCGCAGCAUGGUUCGCAUGCCGCAGUUCAACGGGAAGCAGGGAGGCACCACCGAACAGGACCGUGCCGCGCCUGCGCUGCCCCCGCAACGGUCAACGGAUGGGUCGCCACCUCGGCAGCCCGCUCCCCUUACGCACAGCCACUGGACUGCCUUGAACAAGCACCUGGGAAGGCUUUGGGGGAUUCUUCCGCCAGCCCGGAUACCGGCCAACAAGUGGGUGGUGCU
rnacentral:ncRNA from 2 species